UCGCCAGACUCCUACGGGAGGCAGCAGUGGGGAAUAUUGCACAAUGGGGGAAACCCUGAUGCAGCGACGCCGCGUGGGCGAUGAAGUAUUUCGGUAUGUAAAGCUCUAUCAGCAGGGAAGAAAAUGACGGUACCUGACUAAGAAGCCCCGGCUAACUACGUGCCAGCAGCCGCGGUAAUACGUAGGGGGCAAGCGUUAUCCGGAUUUACUGGGUGUAAAGGGAGCGUAGACGGCCAUUCAAGCCAGAUGUGAAAGCCCGGGGCUCAACCCCGGGACUGCAUUUGGAACUGUGUGGCUAGAGUGUCGGAGAGGCAGGCGGAAUUCCUAGUGUAGCGGUGAAAUGCGUAGAUAUUAGGAGGAACACCAGUGGCGAAGGCGGCCUGCUGGACGAUGAUUGACGUUGAGGCUCGAAAGCGUGGGGAGCAAACAGGAUUAGAUACCCGCGUAU
rnacentral:rRNA from 1 species